CCUUUCAUAUCUGAGGAAAAUCCAAAAAAUAAUCGGAAGCCUGGAAACCAGAUGUACCCGUCAUAAAAACAACCUUCCAAGGUCCAAAAACAUCUGGAAUUUAUUGUACGCUGAUGAAGCGCUUUUCGUAUUAUUUACGUCUGGAAUUUCCCUGUUGAACCCAGUACAGCCUGUAGGAUUUUUUUCGCCAGGUCGAAAUAAAAACUACCGUACUGAAUCGCCAGAGAAGAGACUGGAGCAAUUUCGCCAAAGAUGACUCGGAGGACAAAUGCUGCAUGCACCAGUUUGCUACACACGACACCGUCUGGCGUUUAAUGUGCACGAAAUGAAAUACCACCUCGCCACCUGCCUCAUCAUCCAGCAUCCACAUUACCCGCCUGGACAGUAUAUAUAUAUAUUCACCAGUCGGUCUGUAAGCUUUGAGAGACAACUCGCGCGACGCCAUCGAUGUGCCCAAGAUGCCAAGAGGAGGGACAGCUGCCGUUCUUCUCAUAACAUCUGGCGGUAUCCGAUACUUAUUGCCACGCGCCACUUGCCCCCAUACGCUCAACUUGUGUCUUCUUCCCAGUCCUCAGAAUAACCCACCGAAGUUUUUCCUUUUUACCUUAUACCUUAUACCUUGCUACGGUACCUUACACCCUAUAACCACCUUUUCCUUUCUUCCAUUACUAUACCACUGUACUCGACAUUCAUCUUUGGUUCAAGCUUGAUAUUCAGCUCUUUCAUCCAUCAACAAUGGUACUUUUUGCUCUAUAUUCAAAUUACCGUUUCCCAGAAUAAAAAAUUAUCCACAUCCUCAUCCUGAUCUUCCAUAUCCUCAUCAUCAAGGUUUAAUACAAAUUUUUUGGAUUUUUAUUAUUAAAUUAAUCAA